AACGCGAAGAACCUUACCAGCUCUUGACAUGGUGGUCAUACCUUCCGUAAUGGGAAGGGUCGGUUCGGCCGGACCACACACAGGUGCUGCAUGGCUGUCGUCAGUUCGUGUCGUGAGAUGUUGGGUUAAGUCCCGCAACGAACGCAACCCUUGUUGUUAGUUGCUAACGGGUUAUGCCGAGAACUUUAACGAUACUGCCGGUGAUAAACCGGAGGAAGGUGGGGACGACGUCAAGUCAUCAUGGCCCUUAUGGGCUGGGCUACACACGUACUACAAUGGUGGUUACAGAAGGCAGCGAAGGGGCAACCUGGAGCGAAUCCCAAAAAGCCACCUCAGUUCGGAUUGCGCUCUGCAACUCGAGCGCAUGAAGUCGGAAUCGCUAGUAAUCGCAGAUCAGCGUGCUGCGGUGAAUACGUUCCCGGGCCUUGUACACACCGAUAGC
rnacentral:rRNA from 1 species